ACUCGAGUGGCGAACGGGUGAGUAACACGUGGGUGAUCUGCCCUGCACUUCGGGAUAAGCUUGGGAAACUGGGUCUAAUACCGGAUAGGAGCCAUCUUUAGUGUGGUGGUUGGAAAGUUUUUCGGUGUAGGAUGAGCUCGCGGCCUAUCAGCUUGUUGGUGGGGUAAUGGCCUACCAAGGCGGCGUCGGGUAGCCGGCCUGAGAGGGUGUACGGCCACAUUGGGACUGAGAUACGGCCCAG
rnacentral:rRNA from 1 species